CGCUCCUUGAGGUUCCCUAUUCGGGAAACAAAAUUGUCUUACAUAAGGAGUCGGACCUGCCCGGUGACAGAAUAUGUUAAACGGCCGCGGUACUCUGACCGUGCAAAGGUAGCAUAAUCAUUUGCCUUUUAAUUGAAGGCUUGUAUGAAUGGUUUGACGAAAAUCAAGCUGUCUCUUUUUAAAUAUCAAAAAAUUAUUAUUUAGGUGAAGAAACCUAAAUUUGAUUGAGGGACAAGAAGACCCCGUUGAGCUUUAGUGACUUAGUAAAAAUUAUUUCCCUAAAUAACAUAAAUUAAAAUGCUAUUUAACCAUUACAUUUUUUGCAAAUACCAUUUACUAAAAAUCUUUAGUUGGGGCGACUGAGGAACAUAAAAAGCUUCCUCUAACUAUAAGCUAAUAUUAAGCAGAUUAACAUAAAUAUAGAUCCAGUAUUUACUGAUCAAAGGAAAAAGUUACCACGGGGAUAACAGCGUAAUCUUUCUAAAGAGUUCUUAUCGAAAGAAGGGUUUGCGACCUCGAUGUUGGACUAAGAUAUCCUAAAGGUGCAGAAGCUUUUAACGGUUAGUCUGUUCGACUAUUAAAAUCUU
rnacentral:rRNA from 1 species